rnacentral:rRNA from 1 species
UACGAAGGGGGCUAGCGUUGCUCGGAAUCACUGGGCGUAAAGCGCACGUAGGCGGAUUGCUAAGUCAGGGGGUGAAAUCCUGGAGCUCAACUCCAGAACUGCCUUUGAUACUGGCGACCUUGAGUCCGGGAGAGGUGAGUGGAACUGCGAGUGUAGAGGUGAAAUUCGUAGAUAUUCGCAAGAACACCAGUGGCGAAGGCGGCUCACUGGCCCGGUACUGACGCUGAGGUGCGAAAGCGUGGGG